rnacentral:rRNA from 1 species
UACGAAGGGGGCUAGCGUUGUUCGGAAUUACUGGGCGUAAAGCGCACGUAGGCGGAUUAGUAUGUUAGAGGUGAAAUCCCAGGGCUCAACCUUGGAACUGCCUUUAAAACUGCUAGUCUUGAGUUCGAGAGAGGUAAGUGGAAUUCCGAGUGUAGAGGUGAAAUUCGUAGAUAUUCGGAGGAACACCAGUGGCGAAGGCGGCUUACUGGCUCGAUACUGACGCUGAGGUGCGAAAGCGUGGGGAGCAAACAGG